rnacentral:piRNA from 1 species
UCACAGAUGGAACAAUGGCAAGAGCA